AUUGAACGCUGGCGGCAGGCUUAACACAUGCAAGUCGAGCGGGGUGAUGGUGCUUGCACUAUCACUUAGCGGCGGACGGGUGAGUAAUGCUUAGGAAUCUGCCUAUUAGUGGGGGACAACAUCUCGAAAGGGAUGCUAAUACCGCAUACGUCCUACGGGAGAAAGCGGGGGAUCUUUAUGACCUUGCGCUAAUAGAUGAGCCUAAGUCGGAUUAGAUAGUUGGUGGGGUAAAGGCCUACCAAGGCGACGAUCUGUAGCGGGUCUGAGAGGAUGAUCCGCCACACUGGGACUGAGACACGGCCCAGACUCCUACGGGAGGCAGCAGUGGGGAAUAUUGGACAAUGGGGGGAACCCUGAUCCAGCCAUGCCGCGUGUGUGAAGAAGGCCUUAUGGUUGUAAAGCACUUUAAGCGAGGAGGAGGCUCUUUUGGUUAAUACCCAGAAUGAGUGGACGUUACUCGCAGAAUAAGCACCGGCUAACUCUGUGCCAGCAGCCGCAGUAA
rnacentral:rRNA from 1 species